CACUCCUGCGGGAGGCAGCAGUGGGGAAUAUUGGACAAUGGGCGCAAGCCUGAUCCAGCCAUGCCGCGUGAGUGAUGAAGGCCCUAGGGUUGUAAAGCUCUUUCACCGGUGAAGAUAAUGACGGUAACCGGAGAAGAAGCCCCGGCUAACUUCGUGCCAGCAGCCGCGGUAAUACGAAGGGGGCUAGCGUUGUUCGGAUUUACUGGGCGUAAAGCGCACGUAGGCGGACUAUUAAGUCAGGGGUGAAAUCCCGGGGCUCAACCCCGGAACUGCCUUUGAUACUGGUAGUCUUGAGUUCGAGAGAGGUGAGUGGAAUUCCGAGUGUAGAGGUGAAAUUCGUAGAUAUUCGGAGGAACACCAGUGGCGAAGGCGGCUCACUGGCUCGAUACUGACGCUGAGGUGCGAAAGCGUGGGGAGCAAACAUGAUUAGAUACCCCAGUAGUCCCAU
rnacentral:rRNA from 1 species